UACGAAGGGGGCUAGCGUUGUUCGGAAUCACUGGGCGUAAAGGGCGCGUAGGCGGCUUUAUAAGUCGGGGGUGAAAGCCUGUGGCUCAACCACAGAAUUGCCUUCGAUACUGUAGAGCUUGAGACCGGAAGAGGUAAGUGGAACUGCGAGUGUAGAGGUGAAAUUCGUAGAUAUUCGCAAGAACACCGGUGGCGAAGGCGACCAUCUGGACCGGAACUGACGCUGAGGCGCGAAAGCCAGGGGAGCCGAAUGGGA
rnacentral:rRNA from 1 species